rnacentral:rRNA from 1 species
UACGGAGGGUGCAAACGUUGCUCGGAAUUAUUGGGCGUAAAGCGCACGUAGGCGGCCUCUCAAGUCGAAUGUGAAAGCCCUGGGCUCAACUCAGGAAGUGCAUCCGAUACUGCCCGACUAGAGGUAGGUAGGGGAGAUCGGAAUUCCUGGUGUAGCGGUGAAAUGCGCAGAUAUCAGGAGGAACACCGGUGGCGAAGGCGGAUCUCUGGGCCUUACCUGACGCUGAGGCGCGAAAGCUAGGGGAGCAAACAGG